rnacentral:rRNA from 1 species
AUUGAACGCUGGCGGCAUGCCUUACACAUGCAAGUCGAACGGUAACAGGUUAAGCUGACGAGUGGCGAACGGGUGAGUAAUGUAUCGGAACGUGCCCAGUCGUGGGGGAUAACUGCUCGAAAGAGCAGCCAAUACCGCAUACGACCUGAGGGUGAAAGCGGGGGAUCGCAAGACCUCGCGCGAUUGGAGCGGCCGAUAUCAGAUUAGGUAGUUGGUGAGGUAAAGGCUCACCAAGCCGACGAUCUGUAGCUGGUCUGAGAGGACGACCAGCCACACUGGGACUGAGACACGGCCCAGACUCCUACGGGAGGCAGCAGUGGGGAAUUUUGGACAAUGGGCGCAAGCCUGAUCCAGCCAUGCCGCGUGCGGGAAGAAGGCCUUCGGGUUGUAAACCGCUUUUGUCAGGGAAGAAAAGGUUCUGGCUAAUACCUGGGACUCAUGACGGUACCUGAAGAAUAAGCACCGGCUAACUACGUG